UCUCCGUUAAUUCAAGCAGCAAGUUCUCCCUGGAAAUUUUACAAUACUUAUUUUGCAGUUUUGGAAAAAGGUUUUCAACCGAGAUCACAUGCUCAAAAUGGCUGCCCGAUCCACGAUAAAGUCAGAUCGCGGAAUGACAAAAAUACUCUGGAUAUUUCUGUUCGUCUUGUCUGCUGUGUCUGGGCAUCCGAAACCCUUCGUGAUUACGAGAUCGUCAUUCCCAAAAAUUGGCACCGGUAUAAAUGUCCGACCACAGAUCCCUACCUUUCACGGAACACUUAUCAGCCAUCAAAAUACUAACCCAUUUUUGCGUACUAAUCCCUUCCCGCACUCAAAUCCCUUCCCGCACUCAAAUCCCUUCCCGCAGGCAAAUCCCUUCCCAUAUUCAAAUCGCUCCCCGCAUUCAAAUUCCUUCCGUCAGUCAAAUCCCUUCCCGCAAUCAAAUCCCUUCCCACAUGUAAAUUCCUUCCCGAACUUAAAUCCCUUCCAGCAAACUGAUAUCUUCCAGCGUACGACCCCCUCCCCAACAACUAAGCCGACCACCUCUACCACUACCACCACCACGCCCAAAAAAUAUCUCCUACCCAAUUACUGAACCCGGCUGGCGUAUUCUUAAACCCAGCCUGCAUAAUUUUACCCUCAGACCUGGUAAAUUUUCCCGGGUUACUAAGCGCCCCCUUUUGACCAGCGAGACUCCAAUAAGUCCUCCCACACUUGAGGACCAUUCAUCCUUUGCGGACUACUUGAGGCAAGCGCUGUCUAAUAAUUCCCAUGUUUUUGAUGAGAAUAAUUUUGCUUCCCAAAAUUUCACCUCCGUUUCUAAGGGUGCCAUCUCGGUGGCUGGUUGGACUCGAUUUUACUUAUUCUUAGGGGCACUCUAUUGCGCAAUGGGAACCUUGAGCACCGAUUAAAUAACUACACAACCAGUUCCACUGUAGCGAUAAGUUUGCACUAAUUGGCAUAUUAGAAUAUUUAUGAGUCAAUUGUUGGAAUUAUUUCUUAGCUAAAGUUUUCAAAAAAUUAUAAUUACAAAAGGGGGCUUACGUAAGUGUAAACGUAUUUGU